rnacentral:rRNA from 1 species
GACGAACGCUGGCGGCGUGCCUAAUACAUGCAAGUCGAGCGAAUCAAUAGGAGCUUGCUCCUGUUGAUUAGCGGCGGACGGGUGAGUAACACGUGGGCAACCUGCCUGUAAGAUCGGGAUAACUUCGGGAAACCGGAGCUAAUACCGGAUAAUCCUUUUCCACAUAUGUGGGAAAGCUGAAAGACGGUUUCGGCUGUCACUUACAGAUGGGCCCGCGGCGCAUUAGCUAGUUGGUGAGGUAACGGCUCACCAAGGCGACGAUGCGUAGCCGACCGGGGAGGGGGAUCGGCCAGACUGUGACUGAGACACGGCCCAGACUCCUACGGGAGGCAGCAGUAGGGAAUCUUCCGCAAUGAACGAAAGUCGGACGGAGCAACGCCGCGUGAGCGAUGAAGUCCUUCGGGUCGUAAAGCUCUGUUGUUAGGGAAGAACAAGUAUCGGAGUAACUGCCGGUACCUUGACGGUACCUAACCAGAUAGCCACGGCUAACUACGUGCCAGCCGCCGCCGUAA